UUGGUGCGGAAUUUGUCAUAAUUAAAUUUUUAUUGGUGCGGAUUUUGUCAUAAUUAAAAUUUUUAACUAUUAAAUUUGUUUAGUAAUAUACCUGCGGAUUCAUUUUGCAGUUACGUUUCCAUCUACAAUCAUCUUUUUCAAGAAAAUUCUUGAAAUAUUUUAGAAGAAUGACUAGGCUUAGUCAACCUCCAAGAAGCAAUAAACCUUCAAUAAAAUAUAGGUGUAGCCCACUGGAGGGGGCUUCCUUUGAGCUUACUGAUAUUGAUGAUGGAAAUUAUGCCCCCACCUCCUCUGGUAAUGGUAAGCAAAAUUGCAAAAAAUCUGAACCAAAGUCUUCUGAGAUGCUAAGCACGGCUGAACUCAUCUCAGCAGUUGGCCAGAUAUGGAAUUGUGCAAGUUGUUCCCUAGAUUUUUUCCAACAUAAAUCAAAUUUGAGACACAAUGAUGGUAUUUUCUGGAAGAGAAUGUAUUUUGUUAUUCAGGUGGGAAAGGAAAUGGCUGGUCAUCUACCUCAUCUAAGGAGGGUCAACAUUUCCCAGUUAAUUUGAUGACUACUGGCCAUUCUUCUUCACCCAUGGUACAGGAAAACUUAGAGUGUCUGAAAGAUGGUGAACCGAAAGUUUUACCUUUGCUCAAAUAAAUGUGCGAACAAUUUGAUUCCCAUGGAAAUUGCACUUAAAAUUGCUGAGAAAAUCAGAGCACGUGAGAGGUUUGCAGCUUAUAUUGUCAUUCCGAUGUGGCCAGAAGGCAAUCCAACAGGUGCUGCUACACAAAGGAUUUUAUUUUGGCAG